CCUACGGGCGGCAGCAGUUGGGAAUAUUGCUCAAUGGACGAAAGUCUGAAGCAGCCACGUAGCGUGAGGGAUGACUGCCCUAUGAGUGUUAAACUUCUUUUAUAGAGGAAUAAGACGAUGCAGGUAUGCCUUUUUGCAUGUACUUUAUGACUAAGGAUCGGCUAACUCCGUGCCAGCAGCGGCGGUAAUACGGAGGUGCCGAGCGUUAUCCGGAUUUGUUGGGUGUAACGGGAGCGUAGACGGGUUGUUAAGUCAGGUGUGAAAUCUUGCGGCUCAACCGGAAAAUUGCAAUUGAUACUGGCAGUCUUGAGUACAGGAGAGGUAGGCGGAAUUCGUGGUGUAGCGGUGAAAUGCUUAGAUAUCACGAAGAACACCGAUGGCGAAGGCAGCUUACUAAACUGUGACUGACACUGAUGCUCGAAAGUGUGGGUAGCAAACAGGAUUAGAUACCCCAGUAGUC
rnacentral:rRNA from 1 species